GACGAACGCUGGCGGCGUGCUUAACACAUGCAAGUCGAACGGAAAGGCCCUGCUUUUGUGGGGUGCUCGAGUGGCGAACGGGUGAGUAACACGUGAGUAACCUGCCCUUGACUUUGGGAUAACUUCAGGAAACUGGGGCUAAUACCGGAUAGGAGCUCCUGCUGCAUGGUGGGGGUUGGAAAGUUUCGGCGGUUGGGGAUGGACUCGCGGCUUAUCAGCUUGUUGGUGGGGUAGUGGCUUACCAAGGCUUUGACGGGUAGCCGGCCUGAGAGGGUGACCGGCCACAUUGGGACUGAGAUACGGCCCAGACUCCUACGGGAGGCAGCAGUGGGGAAUAUUGCACAAUGGGCGGAAGCCUGAUGCAGAAACGCCGCGUGCGGGAUGACGGCCUACGGGUUGUAAACCGAUUUCGCCUGUGACGAAGCGUGAGUGACGGUAAUGGGUAAAGAAGCACCGGCUAACUACGUG
rnacentral:rRNA from 1 species